rnacentral:rRNA from 1 species
UACGAAGGGGGCGAGCGUUGUUCGGAAUUACUGGGCGUAAAGGGCGCGCAGGCGGCUCUGAAAGUCAGAUGUGAAAGCCCCGGGCUUAACCUGGGAACUGCAUUUGAUACUCUAGAGCUUGAGUACGGGAGAGGAGAGUGGAAUUCCCAGUGUAGAGGUGAAAUUCGUAGAUAUUGGGAAGAACACCGGUGGCGAAGGCGGCUCACUGGCUCGUAACUGACGCUCAUGCACGACAGCGUGGGGAUCAAACAGG